rnacentral:lncRNA from 1 species
CUCUGAGUUCCACCAGGAGAAUCAGCCUCUUCCUUUCUCUCUGUCUCUCUUUCUCUCUUAUAUAUGUGUGUAUAUAUAUAUAUAUUUUUUUUUUUUUUCUUCUCUCUAGGAUCCAUCAUGGCCCAGAAAGUAACUCAGAAUCGGUCAGAAAUUUCUGUGCUGGAGAAGGAGGAUGUAACCUUGAACUGUGCAUAUGAAGCUAAUAGCUAUACUUAUUAUUUAUUCUGGUACAAGCAACCACCAAGUGGGGAAAUGAUUUUCCUUAUUCAUCAGGAGUCUUACAAUGAGCUGAAUACAACAAAAGUGUCUGAAAAGAAAAGCAUGACAGCUACUAGAGGAUUCGCUUGUGAUUGGCUGAGCCCGGAACAGAAAGGCUCUCCUGUGCAUUAGAGAAGAACUAAGACACAGGAGCAGCUCCUCAGGGGAGAAGAUUUGGAAUCAUUAAGAUUGCAUCAAGAGUGAGACGGCAGGAUGGAGAACAUGCUGGAAUGUGCAUUCGUAGUCUUGUGGCUGCAGCUUGGAUGGUUGAGAGGUGAAGACCGAGUGGAGCAGAGUCCUCAGACCCUGGGAAUCCAGGAGGGGGACAGUCUCAGUCUCAACUGCAGCUACACUGUCAACGGUUUUAGAGGGCUACAGUGGUAUAGACAAGAUCCUGGAAAGGGCCCCGAACUCCUCUUCCUUCUUUACUCAGUUGGGGAUGAAAAGCAGGAAGAAAGACUGAGAGCCACCUUGUUAAAGAAGGGAAGUUCUCUGCACUUCGAAGCCCCCAAACCCGAAGACUCAGCCACGUACCUCUGCGCUGUGCAGACACAAUGCUCCCCAGGCACCUGCAGACUGUACCCAAACCCUGAAGCUGCGGCUCUAGAAUAAGGGCAUCUUUGCUGUUUUCCUUCCUCCUGAGCACCCAGAGCCUCUUCCCAAGUGGUCCCAUGGAGAACGAACUCUUGUGAUGCAGCCAGACAGCAGAGGUUACUGGGCAUUCUGUCCAGGAUCCUAGACAGUACCCCCCUGUUCCCAUGGGCCAGUCUGCUCUUUCAAACAGCCCAGACCUCCCCUCGUGGAGAUUAGAAAGGGAUAGUGAUGAUAUGGAGUCUUGGGCCCCUUGAAAAGAUGCCACAGGAAUCUACCUUCUUCCCUGAAAUAAAUUUUUUGACAUUCUCUUGUAAUAAUCUGGC